GAGGCAGCAGUAGGGAAUCUUCCACAAUGGGCGAAAGCCUGAUGGAGCAACGCCGCGCGGGUGAAGAAGGUCUUCGGAUCGUAAAACCCUGUUGUUAGAGAAGAAAGUGCGUGAGAGUAACUGUUCACGUUUCGACGGUAUCUAACCAGAAAGCCACGGCUAACUACGUGCCAGCAGCCGCGGUAAUACGUAGGUGGCAAGCGUUAUCCGGAUUUAUUGGGCGUAAAGGGAACGCAGGCGGUCUUUUAAGUCUGAUGUGAAAGCCUUCGGCUUAACCGGAGUAGUGCAUUGGAAACUGGGAGACUUGAGUGCAGAAGAGGAGAGUGGAACUCCAUGUGUAGCGGUGAAAUGCGUAGAUAUAUGGAAGAACACCAGUGGCGAAAGCGGCUCUCUGGUCUGUAACUGACGCUGAGGUUCGAAAGCGUGGGUAGCAAACAGGAUUAGAUACCCUGGUAGUCCACGCCGUAAACGAUGAAUGCUAAGUGUUGGAGGGUUUCCGCCCUUCA
rnacentral:rRNA from 1 species